ACUCAUACCUGGCAGGGGAGAUACCAUAAUCAUGAAAGUGGUUUUCCCAGGGUAAGGCUCAUCCAUUGCACUUCGGGUGUGUGAUCCCUGUGAUUUCCCCAAAUCUGGGAAAAUCAGCUUCCUAAUUUGUGGUGGUAGGGGACUGCAUUCGUGGUUUCCCCUG
rnacentral:snRNA from 1 species